rnacentral:rRNA from 1 species
GAUGAACGCUGGCGGCGUGCUUAACACAUGCAAGUCGAACGGUGAAGGCGGAGCUUGCUCUGCUGGAUCAGUGGCGAACGGGUGAGAAACACGUGAGCAAUCUGCCCCUGACUCUGGGAUAAGCGCUGGAAACGGCGUCUAAUACUGGAUACGAGCUGCGAAGGCAUCUUCAGCAGCUGGAAAGAACUUCGGUCAGGGAUGAGCUCGCGGCCUAUCAGCUUGUUGGUGAGGUAACGGCUCACCAAGGCGUCGACGGGUAGCCGGCCUGAGAGGGUGACCGGCCACACUGGGACUGAGACACGGCCCAGACUCCUACGGGAGGCAGCAGUGGGGAAUAUUGCACAAUGGGCGAAAGCCUGAUGCAGCAACGCCGCGUGAGGGACGACGGCCUUCGGGUUGUAAACCUCUUUUAGCAGGGAAGAAGCGAAAGUGACGGUACCUGCAGAAAAAGCGCCGGCUAACUACGUG